GAGGUUUUGAUGUCGCAGAUACUGCAUCAGGAACUGAUUGGAUAAUAAUCAGUCACCAUCAGUUCCUAAUGCAUUGCCUUCAGCAUCUAAACA
rfam:Fulmarus glacialis contig16646, whole genome shotgun sequence.